GACGAACGCUGGCGGCGUGCCUAAUACAUGCCAGUAGAACGCACAGUUUAUACCGUAGCUUGCUACACCAUAAACUGUGAGUUGCGAACGGGUGAGUAACGCGUAGGUAACCUGCCUGGUAGCGGGGGAUAACUAUUGGAAACGAUAGCUAAUACCGCAUAAUAUUGAUUAUUGCAUGAUAAUUGAUUGAAAGAUGCUAUUGCAUCACUACCAGAUGGACCUGCGUUGUAUUAGCUAGUAGGUGAGGUAACGGCUCACCUAGGCGACGAUACAUAGCCGACCUGAGAGGGUGAUCGGCCACACUGGGACUGAGACACGGCCCAGACUCCUACGGGAGGCAGCAGUAGGGAAUCUUCGGCAAUGGACGAAAGUCUGACCGAGCAACGCCGCGUGAGUGAAGAAGGUUUUCGGAUCGUAAAGCUCUGUUGUAAGAGAAGAACGGGUGUGAGAGUGGAAAGUUCACACUGUGACGGUAUCUUACCAGAAAGGGACGGCAAACUACGUG
rnacentral:rRNA from 1 species